rnacentral:rRNA from 1 species
AACAAACAUAACCCGCUCGCCCGAUUAAUACGAGCGAAAGCUUAAAACUCAAAGAACCUGACGGUGACCCACAUCAGCCUAGAGGAGCCUGUUCCAUAAUCGAUAACCCACGUUUAACCCCACCAACUCUUGCCACCCAGUCUAUCUACCGCCGUCGUCAGCCCACCCUGUAAAGGCACAAAAGUGAGCAAAACAGUUAAUGCACUAAAACGACAGGUCAAAGCGUAGCAUAUGAGAUGGAAAAGAAUGGGCUACAUUUUCUACAAAGAACACACAGAAAGACAGAUGAAAAUUCUCCACAAGGUGGAUUUAGCAGUAAGAUGAGACAAAACCCUCACCUGAACACAUGCACUGGGACGCGUACACACCGCC